rnacentral:lncRNA from 1 species
AAAUCAAUUAUAAGGAAUGGUAUUAUCGUUGGGGGUAACUAAAUCAAGAAGAGUGUUGGAGGUUUUCAACGGUUUUUAGGUCGAGGCAGACUUUACAAUGACUAGUUUUUUGUUUUUUGUUUUUUGUUUUUAGGUGCAAUGUUGACCUUAAUUCAUGUGCAAUAACUAGUGGCUUCAUUGCAUCAUCUCACAUAUCAUCUCACGUCUCAAGGUUACUUUAUAAUACAACGCAUAUGGAGCAUUCAUUUACGCUUUAAAAUUAAAAUGUUAGUCAA